CCCAAAGUGUUGGGAUUACAGACAUGAGCCACCACGCCCAGCCACAUUUUCCAUUUCUAUAAAAUGAGUGUAACAGUUUCUUGCAGUUGGUUGUGGAGUUUAAGUGAGGUAAUUUUUACAAAAAAGAGUGCUCUCCAAAUGUUUAUAAAUUAAAAGAAAAAUAUCUUCUAGCUCAGGGCUUCCCAAGCUUCUCUCAAGAAAGUACCACCUCCUAGUUUUUUGUCAAUUCCAUGUGUAUCCUUAGUAUUACUUUUUAUUGAUUGAUUUUCCUCAAACAUAUUAACUUGUUUACUUAGAUGGUCACUGUAGCUUUAUCCUAAGCAAUACCUAAAUACAAUAAAAUUGCAGAUUUUUGUCCUACUGAUAUUUUACUGCACAUUAAAAUAUGUAAUUAUAUUAGUUUCAACACCAGAGGGAAAAAAAAGAAAAAAGAAAUUAAAAAAAUGUAAAAAAAAGCCCAGGCGCGGUGGCUCAUGCCUGGAAUCCCAGCACUUUGGGAGGCCGAGGCGGGCGGAUCACCUGAGGUCGAGAGUUCGAGACCAGCCUGACCAACAUGGAGAAACCCCAUCUCUACUAAAAAUACAUAACUAGCCGGGCGUGGUGGCACAUGCCUGUAAUCCCAGCUACUAGGAAGGCUAAGGCAGGAGAAUUGCUUGAACCCUGGAAGCGGAGGUUGCAGUGAGCCGAGAUCGCACCAUUGCACUCCAGCCUGGGCAACAAGAGUGAAACUGUCUCCAAAAAAAAAAAAAAAAAAGUAAAAAAAUAUUUAAUUACUAAAACAAAAUCUAUAUAUUUCCCAAAAUAUUCUCUAAUAUGUCCAUGGUUGGUAGAUAUUACAGAGCUUAGAAAAGUUUUGCUAGUUGAGAGCAGAGGCUCAAACCUGAAGUUAGUGGUGUUCUCCUUGCCGAUAUUGUUUCAUUGUUAUUUUUAUUAACUUUUUUCUUUUUAAAAACAUUUUUUAUAGCAUUUAACAAUUUUUUAAUUUUUAUUUUUUUAAAACAAGGUCUCGCUCUGUCACCCAGGCUGGCGUGCAAGGGCACGAUCACAGCUCAUUUGCAGCCUCGACUUCCCUGGCUUAAACUAGCCUCCACCUCAGCCUGCUGAGUAGCUGGGACCACAGUCAAGUGCCACCAUGCCCAGCUAAUUUUUAUAUUUUUUGUAGAGAUGGGGUUUCGUUACAUUGCCCAGGCUAAUCUUAAACUCCUGAACUCAAGCAGUUCACCUGCCUUGGCCUCCCAAAGUGCUGGGAUGACAGGCGUGGGCCACCGUGCCCGGUCAACUUUUUCAUUUACUUUCAGAUAAGCUGCUUGGCAUGCACACAAAUCCUGAGUAUGAAACUCCCUUAAAAUCCAUUUUUAGCUACUCAAACACAUGAAUUUUCUGCCACUAAAAUUUUUAGUACACACGCCACAAGCAUACCUCCAUAGAUCUCACAAGUGCCUCUCAAUAAACAAAAGGGGCAGAGAGGACAGAACGGGUAAACGAGAGGCAUGAACAGGAACCAAAUCCCAAAGAAAAGGCUGAUUGAAUUCUAGAGACUGAGAUCCCAGGGAAAUCGUACGAGGGUCCAGGUAAGAAGAGGGUAAGAUCAGAAUUACAGGGUGCAGCCAGGCGCGGUAGCUCACAUCUGUAAUCCCAGCACUUUGGGAGUCCGAGGCUGGUGGAUUGCUUGAGCUCAGAAGUUCAUGGUUCUACCAUGUUGCUCAGACCAGCCUGGGCAACAUGGUAAGACCUCAUCUCUAUUUUAAAAAAAAAAUUAAUAAAAUAAGUACAGGGUGGGAAGACACAAUGCUGUUCCAGUUAUCUGUAGCUGUAUAACACAUCACCCCAAAACUCAGUGACUCAGAACAACAGUGCUUUUAGUAUCUCUGUGGGUCAGGAAAUCGGUGGUGGGCUCAGCUGGGUGGUUAGGCUCAGGGUCUCUUCUGUGCUGACUAGAGCUGGAUCUCCAGGUGACUGAAACAGCUGGGGCCCACCCACCAGCUCUCUCUUCUCAUGCUGUCUCAGGUCCUCUCCGUGUGUCGUGGGCUAGGUGGGGCUCCCUCACAACAUGGCAGCCUCUGGACAAUGGGACAGCUGAGGGGAACUGAGGCCUUCGUGCACUUAAGGGGGAGGUUGUGUCGUCUUUUCUGACCUAGCCUCAGGAGUCACGCAAUGUCCCUUCUGCCACUUUCUGUUGGAGACAAGCAAGUCACAGCCCUGCCCAGAUGCAAGGGGAUGGAAAUCCAACUCCACCUCUUGAUGAGGACCUGACACAUUUGAACAGAUCAGAUGGGAGAGUGUUGUGAUCAUCUUCAAAAACCACAGCAAGUGUGUUUGUGUGUCUGUUACCCCCUACACCGGAAGGCGUGUCGGUCACCCCCCACACUGGAAGGCGUGUCUGUCACCCCCUACACUGGAAAGUGUGUCUGUCACUCCCCACACUGGAAGGUGUGUCUGUCACCCCCCCACACUGGAAGGUGUGUCCGUCACCCCCACACUGGAAGGCGUCUCUGUCACCCCCCACACUGGAAGGUGUGUCUGUCAACACCCACACUGGAAGGCGUGUCCGUCACCCCCACACUGGAAGGCGUGUCCGUCACCCCCACACUGGAAGGUGAGACCUUCAAGGACAAGGACUCCAUUUCCUCUCAGUGUCCCUUGUGCCCACACGAGACCUGAUACGUAGUCAGUGCUCAGUAUUUAUGGAAGACUCUAUUGGUGGCCCAGAAAAGGCUCACAGAAGAGAUAAGCUUGGUUGUGCUGAAACCACACCCCCUCACUACCCUGUUAUAGCACCAAGAGGCGGGUGGGAGCUGAGUCCUGGGAACCUGCGAAAGGCUUGCAGAAUCCCCCAGCACCUGUGUCUAAGAAGAUGGGCAGUGGUAGGAGGCAGGAGCCAGGUGUGAAAGGCUUGCAGAGUCUCCCGGCGCCUGUGUCUAAGAAGAUCGGGCAGUGGUGGGAGGCAGGAGCCAGGUGUGAAAGGCUUGCAGUCUCCCGGCGCCUGUGUCUAAGAAGAUCGGGCAGUGGUGGGAGGCAGGAGCCAGGUGUGAAAGGCUUGCAGAGUCUCCCGGCGCCUGUGUCUAAGAAGAUCGGGCAGUGGUGGGAGGCAGGAGCCAGGUGUGAAAGGCUUGCAGAGUCUCCCGGCGCCUGUGUCUAAGAAGAUGGGCAGUGGUGGGAGGCAGGAGCCAGGUGUGAAAGGCUUGCAGAGUCCCCUGGCGCCUGUGUCUAAGAAGAUGGGCAGUGGUAGGAGGCAGGAGCCAGGUGUGAAAGGCUUGCAGAGUCCCCCGGCGCCUGUGUCUAAGAAGAUGGGCAGUGGUGGGAGGCAGGAGCCAGGUGUGAAAGGGGACCAGCUCUUCAGCCAGGUAACAAUGGUGGGCAUCUCGCUCCCACAUACCAAUGGUCUGUUUAGUACUGCAGGGACACUGCAGUCCAUAUCCCAGGGACAAGUGUUCUGUAUCCUCCCGUGACAUCUGUUGGGAACGUGGAGAUCAGCCCUUGGGUUCAUCUCCACCUGCCUCCCUUUGUUCUCCCAGCCCUGAUCAGUCACCUGGUUCCAGGGAUUCUAACGUGUAAAUCUCACUCGAAUCUCUCCUUUCGUGUCCAUUCACAUUGCUUCUGUCCAAACUUGGGAUGCCCCUGGUUCCCCGCUCUCCUGCCAUCACUCCUUCUGCAAACUCGCCCCUCUUGGACCUAAGCCUGACAUGUGGCUCUUCUCUCCACACUCUGUCUUUUGAGGGGCUAUCUAACCCCGCUAGAAAUGAUAGCCAAGUCAGGUGUCUAUUCCAGAGCCCUUACGCAGGUAUUCCCCUGAUGGCAAAUACACCUCUGGACAUCCCACAUGUUAAGUUAAAUGAGCAUUUAAUUUCCCCUUCCCACCAGCUCCUCAUCUUGGGUUUCCCUUUCGGGGGGAUCCCAGAACCACCUGUUUGCUUUUUUUUUUCACCACUAUCUGCAACAGAUAAUCCAUCGCAAAACAGGUGGCUCCGGAUUUUUCCAGUGCUUCUCAAACAUUUCUUCUGCUUCAUCAACAGCCCUUCCCUGAACUCAGGACACAAUCGUCACACGACUGGAUGUCAGGGAUCAAGCCCUGGGUGACCUGCCCACUGGUCCCUGCCACCAGGGGCUGCCCCUAUAUCUGUCUCCACACUAACUGCCAGAAUGAUAUGAAAUUUGAAUCAUGCCACACCCAUGUUUAAAUCUCCUCAGUGUCUCCCCCGUUUUUCUGCAUCUUAAAAUACGUGUCUGUGGAUAUGUGUAUAUACAAUAUAUAUAAUGCAUGUAUGUAUAUAUGUAUACACGCACACACCUGAAAAAUGUAAGGACAUGCACUACAUAUUAAAAAUACAGGCUGAGCACAGUGGCUUACUCUGUAAUCCCAGCACUUUGGUUGGGAGGCUAAGGUGGGAGGAUCACUUGAGCUCAGGAGUUCAAGACCAACCUGGGCAACAUGACAGAACUCUGUCUCUACAAAAACCACAAAAGAUUAGCCGGGUGUGGUGGUGUGCACCCAUAAUCCCAGCUACUCAGGAGGCCGAGGAGGGAGGAUUGCUUGAGCCCAGGAGGUCAAGGCUGCAGUGAGCUAUGAUCGCACCACUGCACUCCAGCCUGGGCAACAGAGUAAGACCCUGUCUCAAACAAACAAACAAAACAACAAAAAAUUUAAAAUCCUCUCUUUAUGGUGGGAUUAUGGAUGACAUAUAUUCUCCAUUAUCCUUUUUUCUGUAUUUUAAAGCAUUUCCUCCUGACUGUUCUUUCUUUUUAUUGUGUUUCUAGUUUUUUAGUGUGUGUGCAUUUUCUCUUCUGAACUUUACCAGCUACUUAACAAGUUCUAUUCAAAUAUCUCAUUAAAAGUUUCAUGGGAAUACAAUUUCCAAAUGUAUUCACUACAUGCAUGUAUGUUAUCUUCAGGAUUGGAAACAGGCAAUAAUUACUGUUUUUUAAAUAAGCCCUGAAAUAAAUCAAGUCACCCUUGAGGCCAGCAGUUAACAAAUCAUGUUUUCUGCCUCCUCAGAGUUAACUUUUUGAUGCCAGUUUAGCAGCUCAACGGGCAGAAAUAGAGCCAGGUGCUUUGGGACUCAUUAAAACCACCCUAACAACCCUCCUAGGGACCCUGAGAAUAGACGACACCAUGUUUUUCAUCCGUCCAGGUAGGCUGUGUAAUUAUGAUCAGUUUAUUCAACCCAUCUCAGGGCUGGCAAGAAAAACAGCUUCUUUGAGGGAGAAAAAAAAAAAGCCAAAGGGAAAAACCACGUUGGGUCACAGGCAAGAGGGGUUUGGGAAUUAAUCAACGUGGACCCGUUAGAGGGAGUGAAACAGUGAGAUGGCAGGUGGAGAGUUGCACUGGGCUACGGCACAGAGUCGGCCUGUGAGCACUGAGGCAGGUUGGGUUUUUUGUUUUUCUGUUUGCUCGUGGGCAGCAGCGGGCGGCAGACUUUCUAAUUCUCUGUGGCUGACUGGGCAAAGUCUUCCCUACCACAGGCAAAUCCAUAGCUUCCCUCCCCACUCCCCACCUUGUGCGCUCAGCCGGCUAUUGUCCACGCUUUGCUCAAUAUUGACGUUCUUGGAAUUGUAGGUUAUAUAUCACUUUGUGUAUUUUUUGGACUAUCUAAAUAUUAUUCAAAAGCUUUCCUAACUAAAAUGGAAGUUCCUUUCCUGUUUCCAAUGGGAGCAGCUUUAAAAAUGCAGAAAGCCUGUGAAAAUGUCAGAACACGACAAAUCAUAAACUGAUAACGUGCCAUUUACUGUACCUCACUUAUUCCUAAAUAAAAUUGUAAUAAGAAAAUA